GCAGGGAGGAGGGGAGUUCCAGAGGAGAACUCCCAUCUGCCUCAGCCUGCCACUGGACCAGGGAAACCACCCUCCAGGAAAAGGUAAGAACCUGGAGGGUGGCUAAAUGUAUGUCAGUAGGUCUGUGUGUGUGUGUGUAUGUCUGUCUGUGUGUGUCAGUGUGUGUGUGUGUGUGUGUCAGUAUGUCAGUGUGUGUAUGUCAGUGUGUGUGUGUGUCUCUGUGUGUGUCAG